UAGGGAAUCUUCGGCAAUGGGGGCAACCCUGACCGAGCAACGCCGCGUGAGUGAAGAAGGUUUUCGGAUCGUAAAGCUCUGUUGUAAGAGAAGAACGUGUGUGAGAGUGGAAAGUUCACACAGUGACGUUAACUUACCAGAAAGGGACGCCUAACUCCUUGCCAGCAGCCGCGGUAAUACUUAGGUCCCGAGCGUUGUCCGGAUUUAUUGGGCGUAAAGCGAGCGCAGGCGGUUUAAUAUGUCUGAAGUUAAAGGCAGUGGCUUAACCAUUGUUCGCUUUGGAAACUGUUAAACUUGAGUGCAGAAGGGGAGAGUGGAAUUCCAUGUGUAGCGGUGAAAUGCGUAGAUAUAUGGAGGAACACCGGUGGCGAAAGCGGCUCUCUGGUCUGUAACUGACGCUGAGGCUCGAAAGCGUGGGGAGCAAACAGG
rnacentral:rRNA from 1 species